rnacentral:rRNA from 1 species
GACGAACGCUGGCGGCGUGCUUAACACAUGCAAGUCGAACGGAAAGGCCCUGCUUUUGUGGGGUGCUCGAGUGGCGAACGGGUGAGUAACACGUGAGUAACCUGCCCUUGACUUUGGGAUAACUUCAGGAAACUGGGGCUAAUACCGGAUACGAGCUCCUGCUGCAUGGUGGGGUUUGGAAAGUUUCGGCGGUUGGGGAUGGACUCGCGGCUUAUCAGCUUGUUGGUGGGGUAGUGGCUUACCAAGGCUUUGACGGGUAGCCGGCCUGAGAGGGUGACCGGCCACAUUGGGACUGCGAUACGGCCCAGACUCCUACGGGAGGCAGCAGUGGGGAAUAUUGCACAAUGGGCGGAAGCCUGAUGCAGCAACGCCGCGUGCGGGAUGAAGGCUUUCGGGUUGUAAACCGCUUUCGCCUGUGACGAAGCGUGAGUGACGGUAAUGGGUAAAGAAGCACCGGCUAACUACGUG